ACAAUAAAAAAGCUAUGCUUGUAACUAUAAUAUAAUAUAUAUAUAUAUGUAUAUAUACAUACACACACACACACACACACACUGGAUUAUGAACCCCCUGAGCUACAUCCCCAGCCCUCCUCCCCUUUUUGAGACAGAUUCUCAAUAAAUUUCUUAGGCUGGCCUUGUAGUCACAAUCCUCCUGCCUCAGCCUCCCUAGUUACUAGAAUUAAGGGCAUGCACUACCAUAUCUAGUACUAUCUGACAUCUUAGAUUCCUAUAAGAGAAACUCAACCUCCUCAGAAGAAGGUUUGCCCUUGCUUUGAUUGUUUUAUUGACUGAUUGCAGUGUGGAGAUCAAAUCAAGAGGAUUUUGCAAAUCCUAGGCAUACCCUCUGCUACUGAGCUGUACUUUGCGCCCUGGCUUGUUUACAGUAUUGAGGGUUGAACCCAGGGACUCGUGCAUGCUAAGCAAAUGCUCUACCACUGAGCUGCAUCCCCAGUCCUUUCUUUAAAUUUUGAGACAGGGUCUCACGAAGUCACCCAGACUUAAGCUUGCAAUGCUACUGCCUCAGUUUCCCAAGUAACUGGAUUACAGCCACCAUGAGAUGAGCAGCUUUGCCUGUCACACUCUACCCACCAUGAUGUUCUGCCUCAUCAUGAGCCCACAGCCAUGUGGCCCAGCAAGUAUGAAAUAAAACGUAUGAAACUGG